GACGAACGCUGGCGGCGUGCUUAACACAUGCAAGUCGAACGGAAAGGCCCUUCGGGGUACUCUAGUGGCGAACGGGUGAGUAACACGUGGGUGAUCUGCCCUGCACUUUGGGAUAAGCCUGGGAAACUGGGUCUAAUACCGAAUAGGACCACGCGCUUCAUGGUGUGUGGUGGAAAGCUUUUGCGGUGUGGGAUGGGCCCGCGGCCUAUCAGCUUGUUGGUGGGGUAAUGGCCUACCAAGGCGACGACGGGUAGCCGGCCUGAGAGGGUGACCGGCCACACUGGGACUGAGAUACGGCCCAGACUCCUACGGGAGGCAGCAGUGGGGAAUAUUGCACAAUGGGCGCAAGCCUGAUGCAGCGACGCCGCGUGAGGGAUGACGGCCUUCGGGUUGUAAACCUCUUUCAAUAGGGACGAAGCGCAAGUGACGGUACCUAUAGAAGAAGCACCGGCCAACUACGUG
rnacentral:rRNA from 1 species